rnacentral:tRNA from 1 species
UGGAAGGCGGCGCGGCCCGCGCAGGUCUCGUGCCCCGAGGCCGACAUGGUGGCACAGGUCCGCGCCGUGCUGGCCCGGCAUUUUCCGUC